UACGUAGGGUGCAAGCGUUGUCCGGAAUUAUUGGGCGUAAAGAGCUCGUAGGCGGUUUGUCGCGUCUGCUGUGAAAACUCGGGGCUUAACCCCGGGUCUGCAGUGGGUACGGGCAGACUAGAGUGCGGUAGGGGAGACUGGAAUUCCUGGUGUAGCGGUGAAAUGCGCAGAUAUCAGGAGGAACACCGGUGGCGAAGGCGGGUCUCUGGGCCGUAACUGACGCUGAGGAGCGAAAGCGUGGGGAGCGAACAGG
rnacentral:rRNA from 1 species